rnacentral:misc_RNA from 2 species
AACGCACCUUGCACCCUCUGGUAUUCCGGAGGGUAUGCCUGUCUGAGUGUCUUGUAGACUCAAUCCCCCGGGUUUCCGGGUGAUUGGAUUUGGAUGUUGCCUCCUCGGCUCGUCUUAAAUGUGUUAGCGGCACGAGCGCCCGUUGGACGAAUUAAGUUCCGUCUCUCGAAGCGUCACCGGCCGCUCAUAACCGCCCUUGGGCACCUUUUGACUCUGACCUCAGAUCAGGUAGGACUACCCGCUGAACUUAA